AUAACUGUGGUAAUUCUAGAGCUAAUAUUUAACAGAAUGCCGUGACUAACGAAGCGGCGGAUUUAUUAGAUCAAAAUCAACCUGGUGAAAACCGGUUAUUUGAUGACUCUGGAUAACUUAACUGAUCGUACAACAUUAUUGUUGACGACGAAUCCCUUGAAAUGGCUGACCUAUCAACUUUAGAUGGUAAGAUCAAAGCUUACCAUGGUUGUAACGGGUAACGGGGAAUCAGUGUUCGAUUCCGGAGAGGGAGCCUGAGAAACGGCUACCACAUCCACGGAAGGCAGCAGGCGCGAAAAUUACCCAAUACCGGUUCGGUGAGGUAGUGACAAUAAAUAACAAUAUGGACCCUAGUGGUUUCAUAAUUGCAAUGAGAAUAUUUUAAAUACUUUAUCAAGUAUCAAUUGGAGGGCAAGUCUGGUGCCAGCAGCCGCGGUAAUUCCAGCUCCAAAAGCGUAUAUUAAAGUUGUUGCAGUUAAAAAGCUCGUAGUUGAAAUUGGGGAAAUGAUUCAGUAUGAAGUCUAUGAUGGAUUAUUGUUAUCUUCCUUCGUCGUCGUGUAUAUUGUGAGGUCACUUAAUUGGGAUUUUGCAGUAACCGACAAGUUUACUUUGAAAAAAUUAGAGUGCUUAAAGCAGGCUUAUGCUUGCAUAUUGUUGCAUGGAAUAAUGAAAUAAGACUUUGGUUUUAUUUUGUUGGUUUUCGAAACUAAAGUAAUGAUUAAAAGAGACUGCCGGGGGCAUAUGUAUGCUGGUGCUAGAGGUGAAAUUCUUAGACCAUCAGCAGACAAUCUACU
rnacentral:rRNA from 1 species